AAGGAUCAUUACUGAAUUGUCAACAUGAAGUUGUUGCUGGCCCUCAGAUGGGGGUAUGUGCACGCUCUGUUUACACAUCCACUCACACCUGUGCACUCUCUGUAGUUCUAUGGUCUGGGGGCUCUGUCCUCCUGCUGUGGUUCUGCGUAUUUAUACAUACACACUGUAAUAAAGUCUCAUGGAAUGUAUGCCGCGUUUAACGCAAUGUAAAUACAACUUUCAGCAACGGAUCUCUUGGCUCUC
rnacentral:misc_RNA from 1 species